GUGUCGGGGGAUCGACCCCCUCGGUGUCGUAGCUAACGCGUUAAGUGUUCCGCCUGGGGAGUACGCACGCAAGUGUGAAACUCAAAGGAAUUGACGGGGGCCCGCACAAGCGGUGGAGUAUGUGGUUUAAUUCGAUGCAACGCGAAGAACCUUACCAGGGUUUGACAUCCUGCGAACCUCUUAGAAAUUUGAGGGUGCCUUCGGGAAUGCAGUGACAGGUGGUGCAUGGCUGUCGUCAGCUCGUGUCGUGAGAUGUUGGGUUAAGUCCCGCAACGAGCGCAACCCACGCUUUUAGUUGCCAGCAUUUAGUUGGGCACUCUAGAAAGACCGCCGGUGAUAAACCGGAGGAAGGUGUGGAUGACGUCAAGUCAUCAUGCCCCUUACACCCUGGGCUACACACGUACUACAAUGCUACGGACAAAGGGCAGCAAACUCGCGAGAGCUAGCAAAUCCCAUAAACCGUAGCUCAGUUCAGAUCGUAGGCUGCAACUCGCCUACGUGAAGUAGGAAUCGCUAGUAAUCGCAGGUCAGCAUACUGCGGUGAAUACGUUCCCGGGCCUUGUACACACCGCCCGUCACACCAUGGAAGUUGGCCAUGCCCGAAGUCGUUACUCCAACCCUUGUGGAGGAGGACGCCGAAGGUGGGGCUAAUGACUGGGGUGAAGUCGUAACAAGGUAGCCGUACCGGAAGGUGCGGCUGGAUCACCUCCUAA
rnacentral:rRNA from 1 species